GUAGUCUGNAACCCGACUACAUGAAGCUGGAAUCGCUAGUAAUCGCGGAUCAGAAUGCCGCGGUGAAUACGUUCCCGGGUCUUGUACACACCGCCCGUCACACCAUGGGAGUCGGGGACACCCGAAGUCUGUGAGCUGACCGCAAGGAGGCAGCAGCCGAAGGUGGAUUCGAUGAUUGGGGUUAAGUCGUAACAAGGUACC
rnacentral:rRNA from 1 species